GAUCGCAGCCUUCAAAUAACAAAUCCCAGACUUUCCAGUCAAAGUCAAGUGGUACUUCGCCGAAUCUACAAGCCGACAUCAAAUCUGACGCAAAAAAUAUAGAUUCGCAAAGAACUGCU
rnacentral:ribozyme from 1 species